ACUUUAUGCAUGGCUGCAGGUCAGUAGAGUUCGAUGAGAUUAAGAUGGAACACGUCUUCCGAACAUGCUGGAAGGUGAGUGCGAAGGUGGUGUUCAAAUCUCCCAUGCAGCAAAACAAAUUUGGUGCUCAAUAUAUUCGGUUUAUCCUAAAGGACACAACGGUAUGUCACACCAAUCACCUCUCUCCUCCUAAUUGCUAGAUAUAAUGGAGCGUUGUGCACAAAAGUUAUGGAAAUUAUGCCUUUAUUCUAUAUGUACAAUUUAAACGUAGGAUACAAGGAUGGAAGCACUAGCGUAUGACCAGCAAGCAGAUCGUUUUAAUGGAACCAUACAGAGUGGCUUAGUCUAUAAUUUUACUAAUGUGGGGUUCCAACCGACCGAUGUGCCUACCUAUGCCAACCUAACCAUGCAAGCUAAGUUUUGUAUGAUUCUGACACCAAAGACAGCCCUACGCAAGCCUCGUUUUGUAGACUUCAGUGCUAUUUUUACCGACGCGAUAAGUGAUGAUAUGUUCAUAGAUGUUGUUGGUGUGCUUAUAUACGUGGGAGAAAUACAUCAUCACCAACUUUAUGGACAAAGCUUACCUACUAGGGAUAUUGCCUUGGUUAAUCGUCGAUAUAAGGUAAUCUUUCUUCGAAUUUGGGGUGAAUAUGCAUCUCGACAUACAGUGUGGUGGCAAGCACUUGCAUCAUAGUAUUACUGCAUGUCUGCUACAUGUCUCAAGAAAUUAGAUAUUCUAACCGAGACAUUAACUACUACGGUGGACUCCGAAUUGACCAACUCUACAGAUUCACUCAGUGCACCUGAGUUGGGCGUGAUUCGUCGUUUAUUCGUUAGUUCUCGUGAGGAUGCUCAACGGUUCACUCAAGCAGUCGUUUCCUUGAGAGCGAAAUUUAUUACUAUUGCUUCCCUUUUAGACCGAUUGGAUCCUCAAGGAAUCAUCAGACGAGAUGUGCCUUUGAUACAACAAGAGGAUACUAUCGCCCGUUUUAAAAAAGCUUAAGAGAUUGCUUUUAGAUUCAUGAUUUUCGUUAUAUGUUUAACAUUUGUAGGGAUGCUCUGGUCUAUUAACGUUGUUUUUUGGGUCGUAGAAACAUAAAUUAAAAUGUCCUAUUAUUUCGAUUAUGAUGAUUUGUUAUGUCCGGAUUUGGUCCGGUAUGUUCGAACCAGAUAAAAAAACACAUGGUUUUCCGAUGAUGCA